GCGGCGCGGCCGGGUGGCCCGAGGGCCGGCGGGGUGGCCCAGAGGGCGUGCUGCUUGGCUACUUCUCCUUCGCCUGGGCAGCUCCGAGCCUUGGGAGGAACAGGAUCGCUCUAGCCAGCCGGGGCGGACCUUCCCAGGCCCGGCAUUGCGCCCCCAGCCGGCACGCUGGCUCCUGCGUCGGAGCGCGCUCCUCCAAACGCUGCAGCCGUUGCAUUCUCACGUCGCCGGGGCGGGAGACUGGGCGCGGGGGCGUUGUGUCCCCCUUGGCGCUGCGUCGGCCCUGGCGCGCCGCGGGGCUCCGUGGUAGUUGUAGAGUGAACAAAGGGAAUGCAAACAGGUUAACGGCUCCCUCCCCGAGGCCGCGGUACUCCCUGGGUGCGAGUCUCCUCUUGAGUGGCAGGAGAUUCCUUUCUGGGAAUCCCCGGCUCCCGAGUGACCUCGGGUUCCUCCAUCCUCACCCGCCAAAAUGUAGGGGGGCGCGGAGACCGAAGGAAGUGGACCUUCGCGGGAGAUCCCUGUCAAAUCAGCGUCGGACGAAUACUCAAGUACAAAACGCCUAAGCCCUGGCUACAAGGGGAGUAGGGGAUGGGUGUCAGAGGUUAGAGGGUGCAAUGCUGGGGAAAACAGAAACGAGAGAGUGAAAUCGCUGUGCACAAUACUGGAAACAAAUAAAUGGCGGGUGGUGGCCACCAGGUCUUUCAUAGUUGGAGUGGGAGUUACAGACAAGAGUGAUCCUGAUGGUGCUGGGUUAGCAUUGGAGACAUCGUAUGAACUCUCGUUUGGCUUAAUAUAGACAUAGGUGGGUACAUACAAAGACCUCUAGGUAACGGGGUAGAACACAUACACGGGUGUCCUUGCUUUAUCAGUUGAGUGGCUCUAGAAACAGCACUCUUGUAGCCACAAACGCAGCUGGCCCUCAGAUCUUGUUUUUAAUACCAUUCUCCAAUAAAAGGAACCAGGGCUCAUUGAGGAAGUGGCUAAUUCUAGGACUUGAAAGGGAAAUAUUCAGGAUGAGCAUGGAGCACCUUGUUCCACCAGCAGGAACACAGACAAGAUGCUGGAGAUGGAGAGGCCGCUGUGUGACCAUGAGAGAGUGAACAUGAGGGCAGAGCACAUGGUGCAGGUGGCUCAAUGAGCAGCCCACCGCCAGACUUCUGGCUACAUAAGAAAAACAAAACCCUUACUCAGUUGAGCAGGUGGAAGUUGGAUGUUCAGUUAUAUUCAGCCAAACCUGAUCCCAACGGACGGGACAUCCACAGUUCUUUAUCAGUGGUUCUCAAACUUUUCCACCAAAGAAACCCUGAAUAUGGGGGAGUGAGAGUAAAGAAAAAGGUUGUUUGUGGAUUGAAUCGUGUCCCCUAAGGCCUCCUCCCCCGCAAAAAAAUUAAAAAGGCUUGUUGCUUAAGAACUGCUUGCUGACGUUCUGUUCCUGGCUAAUAAUUCAAAGAAAUCCAAAUUGAGGCCCCAGCUCCAAAUCGGCAGGACCUGAAAUUCUACCUGGUGAGAUUCGUUCAUUCUGAUCCUGGCCAACUUUUGGACUUCUGGAUUUCUCUUUAAAGGAUAAAUACUCCUGGGAAUGUGAAUGCCUUAAACCUUUAUCACUUAAUACCUUAUAGAGAAGAUUAGCGGAUUAGCUGAGCAUUGGCCCAGAGUAAUGAGGGAUAAAAGAAGGAAAAGAGCUGAUGGAAGGCACCAAUAAAAAAAGCACUGACUUUGAGCCUA